UGGGAUAUAGCUCAUCGGCAGAGCACUUGCCUAAAAUGCAAAAGGUCCUGGGUUCUAGCCCCAGUAAUGCAA
rnacentral:tRNA from 1 species